UAAUUUGGAAUGGAGGUAAUAUACUACUACUCCUAUCCAGGUCAGUUUGAUGUCUUAAUUACAUUGUAUAGAAUCUGCGUCAAUUAAUUCGGAUUGGAGGGAGUACUAUUUUCUAGGGAAAUAGUUUUACUAUACCCUUACAUGCUCUCAAACUAAAUUCAGGCGUAUAAGGCUAUGAGCAGCUUAAUCACGCAGACACACAAUGGAACUACAAUCGAUAACCUAAAUCAUCCAGGUGAAGAAUUCGACAAGCAAGCAAAAGUGGAUAAACAGAGAAUCCAAUGCGGCCUCGCUUGCAUGCCUUAUUACCAUACCAAGAAUUGAAAUGUCAAAUGGAAGAUCCCUGAAACGACAAAUGUUGCAUCCAACAAUGACAAAGUACUGAACCUACUGAUGCCUAAAUAAAUGGUAAGCACACCCAACUAAAAGGGAGGCAGAGAUGGGGGAAAGCNNNN
rnacentral:lncRNA from 1 species